rnacentral:rRNA from 1 species
UACGGAGGGUGCAAGCGUUAAUCGGAAUUACUGGGCGUAAAGCGCACGCAGGCGGACUGUCAAGUCAGAUGUGAAAUCCCCGGGCUUAACCUGGGAACUGCAUUUGAAACUGGCAGGCUUGAGUCUCGUAGAGGGGGGUAGAAUUCCAGGUGUAGCGGUGAAAUGCGUAGAGAUCUGGAGGAAUACCGGUGGCGAAGGCGGCCCCCUGGACAAAGACUGACGCUCAGGUGCGAAAGCGUGGGGAGCAAACAGG